AUACCUCUGAACGGCUAUGGCUAUCAGCAGCAAGGCCGAGAGGCCCGAAGUCGCCGUCAUGGUGUAUAACAUCCCCUUACAGAGUCCGGACGAUGGAAAAUCCACGAAGUACAUGGACUCGAACACGUAAAAAACGGAAGCCACGGUGCUUGCAAGGAGAUCGAAAACGGCUAAGAUGGGUAUAAAGUAGCGGUCAUCCCGACUUGCCUUCAUCCGUAAAAUGUACACAAGAAGCACUAAAAUGUUCCCUACCAGUCCAACGAAGCAAACAAUUGCCUGGAAUACAACCGUGGGUAAAAGUUUGUCGGCAUAGUCAGAGUUCCACCGCAGAGUGAGGUUAUUGGUUUCAUCCAUUUUGUAUUCCAAUAUUGAAAUAUUGUUCAUUUACGAAAAACUAAAAAAAUUACAUUUCGUUAAUAUGUUUCCAUCUGUUUUGGAAUUUCCGGAUAAGAAUGUGGAGCUCUACAUCUUACAAGACAAUCCAAAUACCCCUGGGUCUUUAAUACCAGGGUAUAUCACAGCUAAGUACCUCCAUCAGAGCCUUUGUCCUCCUUCUGUGUAAGACCUGCAAUUGGAACAGAAAGUUUUAUCUUCUAUUGCCCUACUUAGUUUGCCAUUAUUCGAUUUCACUGUGUUGGUUUUGUAUAUUUUCAUUGUUGAACCACGAAGCGUGAAAACUUCGGAGACCCUUAAGUGUUUAAACUGUGAGCUACUUGUCGGAUGUAGAGAUUACGAGGUUCCAUGGGGCCUCAAUUGAAUGAACCUAUGACGGACUCGCGGAUACACUGCUUACAUUCCUUCAGCCAGUCAUCACUUUCUCACCAGCUUUAUUGUCUACAACUCUGAUAUUUCCUACUGGUUCGAAAACUUUAUAAUAAACUUUAUAAAAUAAGUUAAAUAUGCAGGGAUUACCAAUUUUAUGUUAUUAAAUGACAUUAUAGCUGUCAUAAAAUGACUUUUAUACAAACUAACACGACCGUGGCCUCUGUAUAUUCCUCUGGCGUUGGACAAGUGAGGAUGUUAAAAUAUUUUCGAUAUUAUGUAAGGGCAUUGUUUUCUUUACCUUAAUAAUUAUAUGAUAUGACUAAUCUUUAGCUUUGAAAGUAACAUAAGGCCAGCGUAUAAUGAUAACGAACUAACUUAGGAGUGUACCUGUAUUUGUAGAUCAAAGUUAAGUACAAUCCAAACGACAUAAAACAUGCAGUCAAUUUGAAUGUACUUAUUCAACUGUAGAUGUGGACAGCAAAAUAUCACUCCCACAUACCAUGAUAAUAAAUAAAAUUAGUUACCUUU
rnacentral:sRNA from 1 species